rnacentral:lncRNA from 1 species
CAAGUCUCAGCAAGACAAAGAGAGUUUAGAAUGAGCCGUGGAAUGCAAAAGCUUCAGGCAGAGAAGGGAGUCUUGCAGUGAAGAAAAGUCUUCUGUGUCAAAAGGAGCUGUGGUGUUUUACUGAGAGUUUAGUAAAUUAUUAACACACUGGUCUGCUGCUUAAAAAUAUAUUAUCUAUCUAUACUGGUUGAAGGUGUGUAGUCUGCAGCUGCAAAAGAGGUAGCUCUGAUCUACUCAAACCUGUGGGCAUGAGAUGGAAAGACUGGUUUAAAGGUGAGAACUAAUAGCCUUGAAUCUCUAUGUUAAAUUUGAGGAAGAGUGUCCAAAGAAGAGCAAUGAAGCUGGUUAAAGGUCCUGAGAACAACUCUAGUGAGGAGCAGAAACCAGAGAGGUGCAGCCGGGCGGGCAGGAGGAGACCAAGCGGAGCUCUGGGUCAGGAACCCCCCCCAGCACGCAGCGGGACUUACCAUGCCGGGCGGUGCGAGGUCGGAGAGCGGCGAUGCUCAAGCGGGUGGCAGCGCUGGGUGACCGGAGGCCGGACCCGAGGAUGCCGCCCACACCCACGGCACCGGAGAAGCGGCUCCACCCGCGGGCUGAGUGGCCCCGGAGCGAGGAGCGCGGGGCGCGGAGCAUCCCGGAGAGGCUCAGGCUCCAGAACAUCCCUGACCUGCCCUGCCCUGCAGAACCCAGCCCAGUCCGUCCGCAUGCCCUGUUCGGGCGGUAAUCCCACCUCUCCGGUCCAGCGGUAG